AUAUUACAGCACCACAGAGAGAUGUUCUGUUGUUGAGAUAACUGUGACUGUUUAGUUACUGGAUUGUUCUUAGAGGACUUACUGUACUACUUCUGGAAAAAUUACCAGGAUUUUAGAAGUGAAAGAAGUAAUUACAAGAAUGAGAAUUAUUUUUAUUUAACUCUGGAUUGAAAGGCAAGAGACCUUAAAACAUGCAGAAGUGUUUCAAUGUUAGUGUUAAAGGAUGUGUUUGCCUUAGUUAACAGUGCACAGAAACGCACUUACAUGGCAGUGUCAAGCAGUCAUUACAUAGCUUUUAAAAAACCCAAAUAGCAUAAUAGCACAGUGUGGAACCGGUUGGACUUUCUGGUUAGCUUACUUUUUCUUCUUAAAUACUUGAUGGCACACCUGGUCUUCACAUGUCAGCUCCUACAGCAUUAAAACAAUUGGUACAGUAACUCAGUGAAUGUGUGGCCUGAAGCCAAGGCCCAAACUAGUCCCACAUGGAGUAUAAGAUGUGUAAAUCUGGAGAAACUACUUUGAAGUCAAUGGAG